UAUCCGAAAAAAUUGUCAUUUUAGAAUAUGUCAAGUAUAGAAAAAAUAUUGAAAUAUGCCACUAUAGUAAUCAGUCUGAAAUCCCUAAUUGUUGCCUUGUAUUGUAUCUAUGACGAAAUUAUCAAUGAUUUGGCAAUGAGUGAUACAACGAAAGUGAUCAGUUGCAUUUGUUCCACACUCCAUGCGAUUGUCUCAGUGCUGCUCGCACCAGGAGCUCUAUUGUUGCCUUACAGCGUAAGCCAUUUCUGAUAUUACCUUGGAUAGUGCUUUUGCCGGUGACCAUUUUCGAUUAUAUACAGUUCGUAAGAAGUAUUUUGAAUGAUUCAUGGGGCAUUGUAUUGGCAUUGAUUGUGGCCAUUGGCUCUUGGUAUGUGGCCGCGCAUCUGUAUAUUAUGUUCAGGAGGCUGGAUGACCAGCGACAGCGUCGGACAAUAAUGGCCAAUUUUGGGGCGGAAUGAUGAAAGAUUAACUCGAUGAAUGAUGAAAUACAAGCAGAGCGGGCCAAAAAUGCCGAGCAAAACAAAAUGCAAAACAACAGGAUUCUCCCCCUCUCUCUCUCGCUCUCUCUCUCUCUCUCUCUCUCUUUCUAUGUUAUUCAACUUGAACACAGGCAGUGAGCUUCAAAGGCAGUCAAAGGACAUUCGGUUUUUUGCCAGUUUAUCGUCGAGCUUUGGACCACACAGAUCAAACUUGGGCAACAGGAAGCAAGAACGCAAGAUAAUUUUGCCAAUUAGCAAAGCAUUAUUGAAAUCGUCGUCGCAAAUUGUGCAAAGCGUUAAACAAUUGCUGGCAAAUCACUUUGAACAUUGACGAGCUGUUCAAAUUGUUAAAUUGUUUUUUAUAUAUUGGACUUUUUUGUGUGUGGUGCAUUUCGAAUGUGCAACACAAAAUAAAUGUUUGUAUCGAUUAGUAGCAGAAUUUGUUAAAGCGCAGCUGUGUGUGUGUGUCUGUGUGAGUGUGUG
rnacentral:misc_RNA from 1 species